UCAAACUGGGCAUCCAGUGCAGCCUGCAGGCUGUCAGUCAGAACUCUGCAAUAAGGCACCAUGAAAAUUGUAAAGAGAAACAUACAAUUUGCUGGCAGGAAAGUAAGCACCAGGUAGACAUUUCAGGGUCUUCCUGGAAUUAAGGCUGCAUGGAUUGUGAAGGAAAAUGUGGGGGGUUGAUUUAUGCAUUUGAAAAUAAGAGAUAUUAGGUUCAGGUUUCAACCUAUUUCCUGACUCAGCUUUGCUGUGAGAAUGAUCAGGGAGCAAUAGCUUCCUUCUAAUUAGCACCUGCCUACUUACUCCCAUACUAACAAACCUCCAGGGUGGCAAUGGUUUGCCUUAAGAAGAAUGGCAAUGCUGAGACAGAGUGUGUGUAGAAAAUGAGCUCUGGGCUGACCUCAUGCUGCCAGAUGGCCUCUGCCUCAAUAGGAAAGGGGCUCUCUCUUGAACUUAAGGCACUGGAGGUCAGUUAGACUGCAGCAGUGUAACACUCCCAUGCAGCAACCCAGAGGUGUUUACCUGAUGAAAUUCUGUGUUGAACCAAGCUUCCAAAGUUUAGGUGUGGUUUGACAGCUCUAUUACAGGUAGUGUUAUCCAUCCUCCAAGCUACUUUACUGCAUGUAAGCCGGGCUAUUAAAGCAGAAUACACAAUGGCAAGAAAACCCCAGCGUCUUGUCUGGAUUGGUUGGAUCUCUCCUGUUCUUUCCCUGGGGCUCACACAAAGGCACAGCUCAUGGUCUAGCAUACUCUUGAGGACCUUUUGCUUAUAUUUCAACCUUGGCUAUCAAAAAAAUGAGGUCCUCUUGUUUUUCCAGUGCUUGUCUUAACAUUCUUACAAAUCUUACUCAUCCAGGAUAUGUCCUUGAUCAUUUGUGACUGGGAUAGAAGAGCAGGAGGCCAGUUUGUGGGGCACCACCAGCCUUCAGAACAAACAGUGCAAAUGACUACACUGACAUGAUGUCAUGGCACUGCAGCUGCACUUCAAAAGAAUUUUAACAGCUUGGGUUGUCACAAGGACGCUCUGCUCAAGUUUGUCAGGGACGCCUUCCAGACAUUAUGGCCUUUGUUCAAAAAAAGAUUCAAAUCAAAAGAUUUGUGCAUGGACCUGAGGGAGUUCACGAAUAUCAUAGGAAAAACUAACACGUGUGGAGUAACUUCUCCUUUGCCAAAGAGGAAAUUCCACUGAAAUUGGAUUCCUGUGCUGUAUGCGGGCUGUGGCAUUAUUGAAAGUUAUUUCUUCUAGAAUGUUUCUAGACUUUGUUCCUCUAGCGUCGUCCAAAUCAGACAUGGUUAACAUGAGGCCAGUAAGUUUAGGGAUGGAUUGUCCUUGUAUUUAGCAGAUCAUAGAAGUUAUGUUUAAUGAGAACUGUGUGGUGUCCAAUCAAGGAUUUUGGUCUGGUGGCAACAACAAUGGGGCUGAGAGACAAAAACUCUCCACUCAGCCAAAUGAAGUCAUGAGAAUUUGAUCAAGUUAACACUGACUUUCAGUGUCUGAGUACAUGAUGUUGACAGAAUGGCCAUAACACAUUGAAGCUGCCUGAUAAUCAAGCCAGGGCUGAUCCAAUUUACAAAGCUCAGGUGGAGCUAAAGGAGCAAUGAAGACAGGCAGCCGCGCUCCACUCCAGCCCCAAGUCAACUUCUCAUCCUCGAUUAAUGCUUGCAUGGUGACUGGAAGGUAUGAAGCAUAAGCAGUUGCCUGGUCCUGCUCUUUUUUUCCCUUACCCUCCCAUUAGUGCUACUCACUACAAUGCUUCUGUUCUCAGGGAUGUGUAAUGUGGCAGUGUGGUCUGUUCCUUCCACUUAUGCUGCAGUUGUAUUUGGUCAUGAAAACUCAGGGAUUUUUUUCUUCUGGGUAAUAUACUUAUGAAAUAUUUCAGCCAAUUAAGAGAUCUCUCUUUGGAGAAGUCCUUGCCAUGGAUCUGCCAUCUGACUUGCGUAACCCCAAGGCCAUGUUGGGAAUCUCUUCUCCCCACUCCGUUAGCCCUUCACCCAGCAACUGUCACCAGCUGUGUUUUUUGCCCCUCUAGGUACUCCAGCCCUGUGCACUGCAGUGAGCUUUUACCUCAGGGAAAUUCCUGGUAUGACCCAACCUUGCUUGCCAGAAGUAUCAACCUAAAUUUUAACUGGAAAUUGAUUAAGAAGAUUUUAUUAGGCCCUGCAAUUUAUAUGGCAGAAUUCUGGAGACGGCAGUGACAGUUUCACAAAUGCCAAGUAUUCUACAGCAUCUGAGUGCGUACAGACUUGUGAAUAUUAUAGCUAUCUUUACAACUUCUUUCAUUCUUUGUAGGGAUUUCACUGGAGGUUUUUGUCUAUAAGCAUUAGACAGGAAUGGACUCCUGACUCAGUAGUAGAGGAAUGGUACAUGAAUACUUUACACAAAUAAGGUGGGAAAGGACUGUGGUCUGUAUGUGUGCUUUUAAGACUCAGUUCACUAAAGUUGGUAUGAGGUGCCUGUGCCUUUGGAGAUGUUUAGUUAAGGGUGGACAAAUGACAGUGCUAUUACUAUUUCACGUAUUUUUGCUGGUCGGCUUCCAGACAUCUGGAUUUAGCACCCUAUUAAAGGCCAAUGAAAGCAAAGCUAGUUUGCCAACCUUAUGCCUUUUCAGUCUUCCAUCUCAUGAAUGUAAAGGGAAUUGGGGCUAGUGGGCAUAUCCAUGGACUAUGUGUCUUCAGGCGAGAUGACUAUUCCAGGAUAUACUACUACAUCAAUCCUGACCAAUUGCUUUCCGUAACAGUGGUAGUCCAGGAAUAUUUUCUUUGCUUAAAAGAAAAACAAAAUAAACAAUCCCGUUAUACUACACACUUAAAAGAAGGCAUGGUAUAUUAAUUUACAUAAUACUGGCAGCACCAUUCCAAUAUCAUAUUCUUCUACAGAAUGCUGUUCCAGCAUGCUAUACUAGCCUGUUGAUGAUAGUUCUCCACAUCUGUACUUUAUUAAAAAUACCAUCCUUUCAUCCUACAGAUAGUGGUGUCUUUUUCACCAACUGCUAUUUUACAACAUCAAAGCUGAAGAGAAAUAUUGAAAACACAUUUGCUGUCUUUAUUGUUUUUCUCAUGUGAUUUUUGUCAUAUAUCUUCAUCAAGGUCAGUAAGAAACAUGCAGCUUGGUUGGACAGAAAGGAAGCUUUAAAUAAAAGCCAGAGAAGAAAAGAUGACAUGAGAGACUAGAGGCCAAAGAAAAGUUCAAUUUGGUGCGAGUAAGGAUUUUUAGAUUAUUUACAUGAACAAAAUAUAAUGGUAAAAAUUCUGGUAGUUGGAAUGUCCAUGUUUUAUCAUCUAAUACACUCUUCAAAGCACCCCACACUGAAUACAGCAUUUCAGAUUAACUUAUUCUAUUAAUAACUUCUGGUGGGCACUUUGAUAGUCAGACUGGGUUAACCAGAUUUUCUAGGAAGGUGUUGGAAUGUAUUUGCAUAGCUCUAGCUUUAUCACCUUGUCCUGUUCCUUCUGAAGAAACACACCAGCUGACUUGAAUGGAAUCAAAAUUAGGUCUUUAAUUCAGUAACAUCCAUUAUUUGUUUAAGAUAUCUGUUAGCUGAACAAAAGGAGAAAUGUUCCUUUCAGAUGCAAUGUAGCCCCUUCCCCAAGUUCUUCACCUGCACGUUGUUGGCAAGGGAAUUGAUUGUUUCCACCUGCUCAUCAUUCUGUGGAAUCACAUGAAACACCUUCUGCCUAAAAGGGGAGAAAAAGUUUGCAUUUGAAACAGGUAAGUCAAUUGAGAGGCUUUUGCUUAUGCGGAAGAAAUUAUGCAAAUAUAUAACUUGAUGUCUGUUCCUACUCAUCGAGGCAAGAUCCUGCAGGUGAGCAGAAACAGCUGCAGUACCUAUAAGAACCAAGAGUGCCCACAUUUUUGUUUAAAGGAAAACCUCCAGGUUUUCAGUUCUUCUAUGCUGCUUUUAUAACAAGUUUUAUCAUGCUUUUUAUGAAUUAUAUACCAGAACAACUCACUGAUCAACUGAUAGAUUAUUCCCUUGGCCUUGUUUUGUUUGCAUACUAUUUAUAAUGUGUGUUCUGCUCCACACCUGUGAAAACGUGUGAAAGUCUCAAGGGUGUCUAGCUAAAGAAUCUUGCAACUUGAGCUGGAUAAAUUCUUGGUAGGAGAAAGUGAAUUUAAUUUACUUUGUUCUUUUCUGUUUUAUGCGAAUUUUGACUAAGUUGGGGUUUUUUUGCAAUAAUUUGGUUGCUGGAUUACAAACUUUAUAAUACUUUAUUGUUAUUUUAUGUAAUGGUAGAUGUCUCAGGUGUUGUUGCAAUGUGACUGGUCUUAAUCACACAGCAUUGUCCCUCUUCCUGAAAAAUAGGGGGCUGACUCUGACAAAGGAAGAGGAAGCACAGUUGGGAUGUACCAAUUAUCUUUUUUUUUUUUUUUCCCCAGCAGAGGAGAAAAGUACUGAAUUUGUUCUUUGCUCAGUCACUUUGCUAAAUCUUAUAAGUCAGGUGUCUGCAGAACCGAGAGUGCAGAAAUUUCUAGUUGCAGUAGAGUUGUACAUACACUCCCCAUAAUGCAUUCAUUGAUUCUUGCAUAUUCUCUAAUUUAAUCAUGUAAGGGUCAGAGGUAAAUAUCUUUUAAGUUAAGCACUAUUGUGGGCACUACAUGUAGGCCAAGAAGGUCAAUGAAAUAUUGCCAUACAAAAGCAUUUAUUGCUUUACCUUUCACGUUGUGCUUGAACUAUCUGAGAAACAAUACGUUUGCAUCACUGCACUUGCGUCUGUUUAGUUUUCAUUAACGAGUACUUGGCAUUAAAUGUCAUGUUAAUUGUCAGUUGGCUCUGUGUCCUGAUGUGACUGAUGUUUUCGACAGGGAACCUCGAAAUGAAUCAGUAUAUCAAUAUUUAAAGAUGGAAUUUAUGAGCUCAGUUCUGCCUUCUGUUUUAUUGACAAAUUUGAAUUGUCAGUGACCAUUCUAAGAAGGAAUGUGGCACCACACUCUGCACCUUAUUAUUUGUGAGGUUCACUGGAGUUAACUCAGUAAAGCUGCAGCAGCCUUAUAUACGGAAUACCUAGAAAUAAAUUUUUAAAAUCAAUGUACCAAAAAUGAAGCGGUUUAUGCUUAACAAUAUGACCCAUGAUAAAUAUGUUCCUCAAAGGAGAUUCUGAAACUGCACUGAGCCUAUUUAUCCAAAACUGUCUUUGCCAAAUCAUAGAAUUUGAAUUUACUUUACAAUUAAGGACAUAAUUUGUAGCACUGCAGCUUUUGCCCAGCAAUAAUCUUAGAUUCAAGUCUCCUAAGAAGGAUGACAGAGGGAGUUACUCUGUCAGAGUGCCAAACCAAUACUGCAAAGUCUUCAGAAGUUUUAAUUUUAUGAUGAUGAGAUCAAUGGUAUCAGAUAAAAUGGUCUGAUCCCAUGAACACUGCUAAGACAAUAAUGCAGAGAUGAUCAAGCCCAGAUCUUGCAAUGAAUACAUGAUCACAAGAAGUGAUCAAACAAAUUGCAGAUGUCAUCAUUCCCUGUUGAGCACUGAGAAGUGUCUUGGAGAUAGAAGACUGCCAGAUUUCAAUGCCUGAGUUUACUUGUAAGAAAUUCUUUGCUUUUUCAUGCAGUUGGAGAUGGGGUUUUUUUGUUGUAUGUCUUCUUUUUGUCCAAACGAUCACUGACAUAGCGUUACUGCCAGCAACUACUGAGCUGGCAAGCAUUUCUGAAUACUCUAAUGGCAGUCAUUGCUGUUUCCAUCCCAGGCUAGGUCAGAAAAAAAAACAAUGACCUGGAGUCCUAAUUAAGUGAUUUAUUUUGCAUCUCAGGAUUGAUGGUUAUUUGUCAGAUUAGCUCAUAAACUAGCUCUAAACAUUGUCUUGUUUUUCUAACUGUACAAUAUAAAUGUUUAAUAUUUGUAUGAUAAAGGGGCAGCAAAUUAAAUUUUGUUAAGCCUUCUGUUCUUUUUCAUGUCUGAUUACAAGCCAACAGCACAUCAGUUGACCUUUACUACUUAACACUGAGUGCAGAGGCUAGUGUUACCUAUAUCUUUGAAAAGAUUCAGAAGGAAGAUUUAACUCUUUUAAUCAAGAAAGUAACAUAACCAGCUGAAUCCCAAAAGGAGGGUGUAUAGUAAUUUUCCUCAGGACAUGUAUUUUGUCUUAUACUUAAGGUGAGCACAGCUGAAAAAGGUGUCAGCUAUUGCAAUUUUGUUGCAGUUGUUUGCUUUUUUGAUGAUUAAAAAUAAAGCCUUCUAUGAUGUUGUCACCCACAAAGUGUGUUCCCUGUUUAGUGACAUGAGCUGUAAAAAGUUUUUAUGCUAGUAAUUGGCUAUAUUCCAGCUGAAAUUCAUUUUUGUAGUAAUUUCUUAUUUCAAUUUUAGGAGUAGAAAUACUCUGGUACUCCACUUUGAAAAGCUUAUAAAGGCUAACCACAGAUUGAUAAAAUGAAAAAAUACACAUCAGUGUUAGCAUUUCAGAAGCAUUCUUUAUCCUAUGAAGCCUUUCAUCCCAUUUGUUAUCAAACCAAGUCCAAAAGUCUGAGGAUAAAUAAUGUCUCUUUUUCUAGGAGUUUCAGUAGAUACAGAUUUCCUGAAUCAGAUAGUUUGUUGAGCUAUAUUUUUAAAAGUCUGCUAUCUUUUAUUCACAAAAUAUCAUCGGUUCUUAUAAUCCUUGAUUGAAAAAUUUAUCUUCUUAAUAUUGUUUAAUGUUUAUUAUGUUCUAAAAGAUCAGUGAGAAACUCCUCGAUGCCCAGUCGUAACACUGCUUUUGUAGCAAAAUCGUAACAUGUGCCACACCAGCCGUAUGUGUUUGAAUUAUGGGGACCUUCUUAUCAUCAUGUAUUUGUUAAGGUAAUAUGUGCUAACCUUAGUUUCGAAGAGUAAUACUAUUGAAUAUAUUCUGAAGACCUUUGUGAGUACUUUGAAGAGGCCAGGGUCAGCAGAAUCUGCUAUCCAGCAUAUGUUCCAAGCUUUCUUGACACUUUCUCUGUGUUUAUAUAUUAUUAAUAUUGCAUCUUUUAAUUCAUCAAAGGCUUUUUCAACUUUAGUGCCCUGGGACAUGAUCAUAUCCUACAGUUUUGGUAGCUAUGUGGAGGUAUUUUUUUAUCCCCCCCCCCCCCCAUUUACAGAUGCUAUUCAACAUGUGAAUAGGAACUGGAUAAGGAGAGGAAAGAAUGGGAGUGAUGAGAUCUAGGGUAUGGAGUUUCUGUGACUUUGGGAUGUGUUUCUACUUCUGCUAUCAAAACUGUAACUGUUCUUUUGUAGGGUUGUUUGAUUCUUGCCAGGGUAUCUCCUGUGAAAUAGAUAUCAUAUUUUUACCACUGACCUCUAGUAGUCAGGAUUAAGACUGAAUGUACUGCAGCUUCAUUAUAUGAUCAAUGCAUGGAUUGCUUAGUGUUUGGAAGUAUUGUAUAUGCCCAGCUAGAAGUUGCUCUAUAUAUCAUAUACAUCCAGAUUCUGAAAUAUACAUCCAAAGUCUGAAAUAUACAAAAAUAGAAGCAGUGAAUGAAGGUAUUGGCGGUGCCAGCAACCAAGCACAAAGAAUCUGUUUAGUGCCAGAGAAAAGAUAUUUAAUGAAGCAAUGAGAAGGACUGACCUCACACCCAUUGGUUAUGGACAGCUUCUGUUUAAUUAGCUUGUCCUCUGGCUGGGCUUUCUGUUAUGUACAAGAGUGUGGCAGGUUCUCAUACUCAAGCCUAUUCCCUGGCAUCUGUAAGGCUGGCAGGGUCGUGGCAGGACUCAGUGACAGAUCAAAGACACAAAAAAAGCAUAAGGUCCUUCCCCUUACAAUUUUUAAGGCACUGAGAUCAGCAUAGUGAGAGAUCAUGACUACAGUGAAAAUUUAAUGAUCUGAAAAAGUACGCAAGUAACUACAUGCGCGGUACUCUUACUAAAAGAAGCCAGUUGAAACUUUCAACUCUCAACAUCUUGCAGUAUCUAAUGGGUGUAGGAGUUUCUCUUCUGGUGUAGAUCAGCACAACAUUUACACCUAUAUGAUGUCUCCAGCAAGUCCAGAAACAGAUGCUGCUGAGGCAGUGCUAGAAUUGUUCUGUAACGAGAUACAGGAGUAUCUGCCCACUGUUGAAGCCGCUCCAGGAUAUCUAAUACGGGUUGUUAGCACAUUGUCUUUCUCAGUAUUCCCCUCGUUCCCAUUCUGGGCUCUGCAGGGGCUGAAGGUAAAUCAGGCUGUCAGUGUGCAAUCAUCCACCUCCAGUUUUAACAGAAGGAUUUAGACAGAGAUAUGAAUCUCCAUUUUGUCCAGCUAAAUAUGAUCCAGAUAGCGAUGCUGUAUUGGAGUUAACACCGCACAGCAGGCUCACCAUGAGUGGGAGUAAAGACAGAUGAAAGGUGACAGGAGAGUCCAGGACGCAAUAAAAAAAAGGUCAGCAAGAAAGGUUCAAGGAAGAGAUUGGACUGAGCAGCUUCAUUCUGCACUUAGGCCUAACUGAAAUUUCUUUUUACAGAUUUCUGGGUCAUUUACUCUUCUCUUUUGCUUUUUGUAUGUGUUGGCCUUCAUGGAUUAUGUAAAUCAUGAACAUUCUUCCUCUCCUGUAUAGCUUGUUUUUCAUCUGCAGACUUGAUAAAAGUUUGAAGCUUAGUGCUUAGAUAGUGACCUUCAACUCUGAAUGAUUUUGAAAUCUGGUGCCCUUUGCUGAGAGGCAGGUUGUAUCAACUGCUGUUAUACCUGGGCAAAGGUCAGGGAGUUCUACUGUUUCAGAAAAAUAAGACCAUUUAGAAAAUGAUAAACUCUUUCUCAGUUCACACUUAUUGAAAUAACCCAAACUCACAAGCUGCAGAAGAAAGUAGAACUCCACUAUGGUCAAGUAGAACUUCAGCUAAUUCUCUGGCUUCCUCCCCAUCAAAACAUAUACAUUAAAAUGUCAUUAAAAUUAGUUUCCUUCUUACUUUUUACCAGAGUCUGGAGUUAGAUUUCAUACAUCGUAUUGCAAAAAGGAAAAACCAGCAAAAAAUCCUGUAAAAACCACCAAACCAAAAAGCACAAAUAGAUUAAUUGGGUAUUCUGCACAUCAGUUUGUUCAUGUAACAAUAUGUUCCUUUUCAAAAGACUCGUCGUUCUUAGUUGAUCAGAAGUGUUCAUAAAACUCUUCCCAAAGCAAUUAAUUGCACUAAUAAUCUAUACUUGGACAGCAUUAUUAAAACACACUAAUUGCAAAACCCAUAGUGAGAGCUCACUCAUUAUAAGAGUAUGGGGUAGCAAAUUAAGCUGAAUGAAUUAAUCUUGGCACUCUUUGUUCCUCUGUGAACUUGUAAGUAAACAAAGUUCAAACUGAGUGGAGGCUCUGUCUGAUUUAAGCAAGUGUAUUAGCUAUUUGUAAGACAUCACAGGGAAAAAUAACAAGAAAUCAAAUUCAUGCUACUGAAGUGUGUGGAACCAAAUCUGACUGAGGUAUGGAUUUUUGUCUAGGUGAAAAAUUCCUUUUAUUCAUAGAAGGAAGUCAAUGACUAAAGAUAAAACUGGACUUCCCAAGAAAUGAAUAAUUUGCUAUUUUUCAGUAAACAGAAGGCUUCAAAGGAAAACAUGCGGAGUGCAAAAAAUUUCAACAUGUAGCCAUAGUCUAAUCUCACUUUCAUUAAUUUUUCUGGAAAUUAAUUCAGCUGGACACACCUCUGUUAAACUUGCACGAAAAGGACCUUGAUGAAGCCAAAAAGCAAGCUGCAGAACACAAACCAGCACCAUUCUUGGGAAAUAUUUUUGCCUGCACACAUGGAAAUGUUUUUCGCAUCAGAGAUCAAUGAGUGCAUCAAAAUCAGGAGCUGUGUAAUGCAGUUUUCCAGGGGAACAGGAACUUUGAGCUUCAAAACCAGAUUCACAUUCUCAGCCUCAAAGAUCAUGAAACAAAAGUGACUAGUUUGUCUUACUGGAAAUAAUUCUGGAUCAAGCCACAGAAGAAUGGAAAUCCCUGCUUGCUUAUUCUCACGCACCUACUAGGUAAGCAAAUCUCUGUUUAGUCAUUGCACUCCGCUGCAGGUGCACAGGGAUGUGUGGUGGAGCUGUUCACUUAAAUGGCUGUUUUACUGCUGCUUCUUCUCUGGGACCAAAGAACCACAGAAAAUACUGGGAAGACAGAUUGGAAGUCAGAAGCAUCCCAGACCUACUAACAGCAGCACAAUGAAAACUGGAGACCUUGAAUGAUAAUAAAACAACUGAGUUGGUAAAAACUCAGCUGAUGGAGCUCUCAUGUGGAACAUAUUGUGUCUAAAAUGUUACAGGUCAUUUCCUUUGCCUUUCUCUAUAAACAUGUUUUUCAAAUUGGUUUCAAGUUGGUCCAGCUGCUUCAAGCACAGUAUAUUGAAAGCAUAUUAAUAUGACAGAUAACUAGCAGCUGUUGUUGGAAAAUUGACAAAGCGAAGGGUAGAUGUUGCUUCAGAGGAUGAACUUGUGCUUUCAGGCAAAACGUCUUCCUCGAUGUUUUGCUUCUCUGUGAGUUUUUCUUUGCAAAGUCUGGGCCAGUGACACUAAGCGGUCACAUUCUUUCCAGAUAUAGAUCUAGCAAAUGUAUCCAUGCCUUAUAAGAAACAGAUAUGCUGAUGGACUCAUUGGUCAAGACACUGAUUGACACAGAAAAGGUGUUCUUAAUCUCUCUGCAAUUGCUCUCUCUGUUAAAGAAGAUAUUGUCAUCUGUUAACCCUGCCUCUGAUUUAUUCAUAUCCAUAGCAGUAUUUCUGCACUGAGGAUUUGGUGAUAGUGGAUGUAGCAAUACACAUGUUCCUGAUGAAAGCCUCUGUUCCAGAGUGUAAUCUACAAGGACUUUUGAUUUAUACCAUUUUUUCUUUUAUAAUUCACUCUGCCCUGAGGAACUGCAGUCAGGGAGAAGGCUAGGAGACUCAAAGGAUGCAGACAAACUAUGGAAGCAUAUACAAGCAACCUGACAAGCAAAAAGCAUUUAAAGAAAAAACAAUCCACAAUCUGCAUUGCAAAUGGACUUGCAUCAGGAGUUCUUAAGCUUGUUUCUGGGCUAGGCCACCUGGUUAGAGAAAGAUUGCCUGUGUAGUCUUUUUCUGCCCAUUCAGAAAUUGUGCUGACCUCCAUUCCUUUCAUAAUUUUCUAGCAUUACAGCAGCAAUUACUUACAAGGAAAAAGAGUUUAAUGUAUGUUGUACUUCUUUUAAUGCAGUUUAGCAUAUGGAAACUUGGAGGGAACAGUCUGCUUUCUAGGGACCACAUUUUGAGAAGUGCUGACUUAGGCCACAAUCCCAUGCAGUCACAAGGAUGCAACUGUACGAAGAUCUUUGCAGAUCAUUACGGGAAGCUAUAUAGUGUUACGAGUUGAUUUUUUUUAAGUUGCGUUAAUACUAUUUCAGGUAAUUAUUUGCUUUUUCCCCCAUUUUGUCCCAAAUUGCACAUUAAUAAAAUAGCUGUUUAAGGUUUAUGCCCUUCAGGAAGAAUGUAAUGAUGUUGCUAUGAAGUAGCCCAGUGCUGAGAAAAAAGAAAAAUUUGUUUGUUUAAAAAGAAAAAAUAAAGUUCCCUAAAUAAAAGAAGUGAA